UACGUAGGGCGCAAGCGUUGUCCGGAAUUAUUGGGCGUAAAGAGCUCGUAGGUGGUUUGUUACGUCUGCUGUGAAAACCUAGGGCUUAACCCUGGGCCUGCAGUGGAUACGGGCAGACUAGAGGUAGGUAGGGGAGAAUGGAAUUCCCGGUGUAGCGGUGAAAUGCGCAGAUAUCGGGAGGAACACCGGUGGCGAAGGCGGGUCUCUGGGCCGUAACUGACGCUGAGGAGCGAAAGCGUGGGGAGCGAUCCGG
rnacentral:rRNA from 1 species